UAAAUUCAACCAAUGGACUGGAGUGGCAGUGCAAUAUAAGGAUAUACAACAAGUCUUGACCAAUAUACAAAAAAAAACACUAAAAGAAAUUCAGGAAAGAAGUGGUUGCAGCUUUAUGUGGUGCCAUAAUCUACCACACAUGGAGUGCCCGAAAUUAGAAGAGAUACAAAAGCAAAGCUGUAAAUAGAAAUGAUGUAAUUACAAUGAUUAAGGAGCAGCUUAUGGAGAGGAUUAAUUGUACAGAAAUUCAAAGAAAUUAAAGCUCAGAGAUGUAGGAACUGGAUUCAACACUUAGUUACCUAAUGUAGAUGUUAUUUUUGGUUGUUGUUGCUGCUUGUUAGAGGCCUAUUCCUAUGAUGGGAUGAUGUGCUCUUUAUUUGUACUGUGAUGAUUUUGUUAUAAUAAUAUUUCACAGUUAUUAUCGAAAAAAAAAGUCCUAAGGAAGAUGUUUGUGUUGUAUGUUAU
rnacentral:lncRNA from 1 species